AAGAGUGAGAGAGAGAGAAAGAGAGCGGUAGAUGGUAAUAAAGGCGCGAUGGAGAUUUGCACAUGUCACUAAUUCAUACUUCUUUUUUUUUAUAAUUCUGAAUUCUGGGUGAUUUUUUUUUGGUUUUGUUUUUUACCGUCCAAGUAAAGUAAAAUAUAAAUUUUGAAAUUUUACAUAUUUGUGUGGACGGUAGAGGCUUUAAUUGCAAAAGGGUCCCUCUUUAUAUAAUAAAUACAGAUACGGACCCUCACCACCACCGGUAACUUUUUAUUUAUUAUUAUAUAUAAUACUUAGUACUAUACUAUACUUUUUUUAAUUAACCGUUUCAUUUCAUUUACCCUCUUUCUUCUCUUCUCGCAUUAAGUAACAACAACAAUAACUUGCUAUUUUUUUUUAUUUUUUUUUGUUGAUCAUUUUUUUUUUUUUUUUUUUUUUUUUGUCGCCUUUUUUGUUGAUCAUUUAACUCCUUUUCUUUCAAUCUUUUACGUUAUUAGACGAUAUAUUAAUGCCAUAGAUAAUAGAUUUUAUGAAAACGAUUUUUAAUUGUCACUGAGAUUCUGCUGCACAGCAUUCAAGUGCUUUGUACGUUUUAUUCAUUUAAACGCUAUUUCGUAACUUUCAGAGUUUUAUUUUGAAAUUACGUUUGUGUCUAUACUCAUUCACACGUGUAACGCACAUAGAUCGUAUAUAUUCGUAAUCAUAUGAACUUAGUCAUCCACACUGCACACGUGUGGAAUGGUGUAGAGAUAAAAACUGGUCAAUUAUAUAUUUUCGUGAAAAACUCAUCACAUAUAGUCCAAAAAAAUUGACAUAUUCAAUUUGUCUUUUCUAUAUGUAUGUUAUUAUAAGUUGAGGUAUUUUAGAAACUUUUUUGUUGAGGUUCAAAGUAAACCCUCAUGUAUCACCUUUUCUUCUUCUUUCUAAUGACAUUCUAAACACCUAGACUUUAAUUUUGAGAUAUAUCAUCUAAAACAUCCAAAAAUAUCAAUCCAAAGUAUGGAUGAGUUUCUUGUUUCAUUCGAAUGAACUAGACCCUAAAUAUAUAAAUCGAAAAAAAAAAACCAACAUUAUAUGCUCUUGUCAGCUGACCAGUUGUAACAUCUAUGGUAAUAAAAAAAAAAAUUAAUGGGAAGAUAUUUUCUUUUUGCAAUUUGCCUAAUACAUGCAUCAUAUGUAUUGUCCUAUUUUGGCAUUUAAGUCAACGGGACAAAAACUCUAGAUGAUCAAGAUAGUCUCUAAUGUUGACAUUUGUUGUCACCUCUUUCAAAUUUAUAAUGUGUUCGACGACUCAUCCAUCACACACAUAUUUGUUGCAUUAUUCUAACUCUUAUAUGAAAUUAACAUCAUCACUAUCUAACGAUUUGUGGAGAUUAUAUUACUACAUGAAAAAUCAUCAUAAAAUUCAAGGCACAUGUCUUAAAAGUUAAAACAGUUUUAUUAGAGAGACAAGAUAGGACACCUUCAAAUCAUUUAGGCUUGACAUGAGAGUGUUACAGUGACUGUUUAGAGACCUUUUCGCACAUGAAAAUAGAAAGAAAAAAAAACAUGGUGGUGAGUACAUGUCGAUGAUUGUCGAUGAACAAAGUACACUACACUAGUAAAAACCAACAACCACCCACAUGGGUUGGUGUGUUCUCCACAACAUCCGAUACAAGGGUCAAGGUUAGAUAAAACAUUUCAAGUUUUUUCAAAAAUGUUGUAACCAUAUCGGUGAUGAAAUAGGGAAAGAUCAUGUGAACAUAUCUAGAUGAAUGAAUGAUGAAACUAUUUGGUUGACAGGACAGUUAAACUUUUACGCUUUAUUACUUGAGAUUCCCCGUGACAGACUUUGGAACGAAUCAUGCAUUCAUAAAAUGCUGCAUGCUAGAGGUAGUUUAGAUGUGUUUCGUUUCGUGCCAUUUUGAGAACGAUGAAGCUGCUUCUUCGAGUACCAUUUGAGAAAGAAAAGACCAUUAUUAGUUUGUAGCACUCGACACAAUCGGAAACAAUAGCAAUAAAUGCUCCAAAGUGCAGUAAGGAACCAUACGAUAAGGUAGCAUCAACCACCACUGCAUACUGUCUAGUCUAUCACAAGAAGACAUACAUUCAUCGGAACAAAUUGCUACCCUAUUCGGCAUUUAAUAAGCUGUCUUGUUGCUUAGAAUUUCAUAACCACAGAAAUUUGCCUUGGAUAAGAUUCUAGUAAUGUCAAGGAUCCACCAACGGGAAAAAAAACUAUAAUGCCGACAUACACAUAACUUGACCCACAAACUUCUAUUUGACUAAACUACGAGUCGAUUCAGCACUUUGUUUUGACCUCUCUAGACCCUCAAGAAGAUUUAGGCUAACCUGACAAAACAGAGAAAAAUCUUACCUCAAGAUCUUAAGUAAAAAAAAAAAAAAAAAAAAAAAAAAAAGUAGAGGAAGUCCAAGUUAAUCUACAAGACAUAUACCUGUUUCUCACAGUAAGGCAAGAAGCAGACAAAGUCAUAAACUGGAGAAAUGGUCUGCACCAAAACUGCAUUUACUCUGGGAAAAGCAAUAGUCCCAUCAAUGGCCCUGUUCUUGAGGAAUCUCUUCUGCUCUGUGAUCAUUCUCAAUUCAAUCAAUACCGAUUCUUUUUUCUCCAAUCACUUUAUCAAAAACCUAAGCACAAAGCUUCCAUUUUCAAAGCGAAACAGAGUAAACUCACCACUAAGUCAUGUGCCAAGAAAAUUCACAGCAAGUUACUGUCACCAGCGUCGAUGUUUCCAGUUUCCGAUCUUCGCUCGUGUCAAACCACCUUAAAGACGGUUUAAUUCGGUUUUGAUUUGAUUUGUAUGCUUUAAAAAUAAAAAAGGUUUAAGAACUAAGAAACUGAAGCGGGCUAAUCUUCCACCCAUAACUCGAAUAAAUGGUAAUUCUACAAAUGAUUUUCUUCAUCUCUUUUCUUUACAUUUGCUUCCAUGGUCCUCUUUGCAAACAAUGAUCAAUCACAACAACUGUAAAAAACUUCAUUUCAAGAUUCUUCUUUUCAGCUAUUUCCAAGAAUGGUCAGUGAUUUGGUUGUUCGUCAUUGGUGUCCAAAGCCGACUUAUCCAUUUCAUCAUCAGAAUCAAUCACAUUUUCGAAGUCAUAAUAUGGAUGCGCCUGCAAAUUUUAAAACCAAAUGUCACUUAUGUAUCUACCAAAAACACAGAACAAAAACUAAUUGGUUACAAGAAGGGUGAACUUAUUUACCUUUGGUCGCGGUUUAACAGCUUCGAAACUAUGAAAUUGAGGAUCGGAGAAAUCAGGAGCCUGUAAUAUAAUAUAUGCUCCUUUGUUUUUGUACCUAUCUUCUGUUGCCUACACAAAACACAAUGAAACAGAAAGAUUUUGAUCUGCAUCUUACGAGUUUUAGAAAAUACAAUUUCGAAAGGCGUGUAAAGUACAUACUUGGAAUUGUGGAUAGUCUGGUGCACUGAAAAUAGUGAUAAGCUUUCCAGAUUCGACAGUGUGAUCUAUUGUAUAUCCUUGGUCCAUUCCACCAAGACCAGAUCUCUUCUCUCUAGCAUCUGGACCUUCAUGUGAUCUGAUGAUUAACUGCAUCAAUAAUAAAGUAAAACAUGUAAUCCAAAUCAGUAUUUGGGAAGCAAACCAGUAUCAAUAUCUUAGUUUGGUUUCACCUUUAGUUCGUAUUUCUUCAAAAAUUCCUCUGUACAAUCAGGACCCCAAAGAAGACCAAUGCCUCUCUGUUCAUUUGGCGAAAGGCCUGGACUCAUUGAAGGGUCGGACCAUAAAACAUCCCCAGGAAUCAAGUUUGAACCUUCCCAAGGAGGAUCAAGAACUGAUCUUCGAGCUUGCAUCAAUUCAUCUAAAGUACCGAGUUUCAACGAGCUCGGCUCAGGUUCUAGAAGAACUACCCGACGGUUCUUUUUCCCCCUUGUUCUCUUAGGCAAGAUUGGGCUACGGAAAAGACCUCCGUGUGCAGUAUACACACGUCCUGAAAUAAUAGAAGCCAAAGGAAGACCUUCAAAGCAACCUAAACAUUUGCGGUACACAUGUUUCCCCUUGUCGCCGUAUUUUGUAAGCACUUCCUUUUCAAAACCGUACAUGGAUGUACAAUAUUUGGAUUCAUGAUUACCACGGAGAAGGUAGACUCUAUCCGGCAUUAAAACCUAAACAAUCAAAAAUAAAAGGGGUGUUAGGAAAAACUAAGAUUUGAGCCAUUAGCAAAACAGCUAGUUAAGAGUUGACCUUCCAGGACAAGAGAACAAGGAAGGUCUCGAGCCCCCAAGCACCACGGUCCACAUAGUCUCCGUUGAAUACAUAACACCGGUUUUGACAAGGAAAGCCAGUAUCUUUCAAUAGGAAGAGAAGGUCAUGGAGCUGACCAUGAAUGUCACCAACCACAACAACGUUGGAUUCGGAAUCAAGAUCAUCGAUAUGAACACAGUUACGCUCUUUGUGGAGGAUUUUGGAAGCGGUGAGGACGAGGGAAUCAAAGACGUUGACUGGCAUUAGUGAAGGUAACUGGGAAGGAGGUAGAUUCCAUGAAGACCAUUCGAAAGACGACAUAAGCCCAUGUACCCACUCGUUCGUGAGCUCACCUCCAUUCGGCCAUAUAAUGGGAGAUGGUGGAACAGCUUCCAUUGAAAUUAACUGAAGCUAUAACUGUAAACACACAAUUUAUAAGGAUUGGUAAAGGCAAGUCUUUUAUACGAAUAUAUAAUCAAUUCAAACCACAUAUAACACAAUAUGAUGAAACCAAAGAAACAAUCAAAAGGAGAGUGAUCAAGACAUAACCAAAGUUUCCACUUUUUAGCUAUCAAAGACAGCAAAAGAUAGCUCACUGAAGAGCUAGGAUAUAAAAAUCGAACCAAAGCAACACCCUUCAAUCUUUCAACUCAAGAGAAGAUAAAUCAAAUCAUACAUAUUUAAAAUUCGAGAGAAUAGAAAAAAUUACAAUAAUCGAAUCAUGCAAAGUAGUUAUAGCACCAAAAUUGAAAUACCAAACACAACAAAGAGCAAUUCGGAACAGAGUAAGACUGACCGGGUAAGAUGUGGAGAGAAUUUUAAGCUUCGAUCUUUGGACCUAGCUCUACUUUGCUUUCUCUCUUCCUUGAGUUCCGUCGUCGAGAACGAGAUUUAGGAUCUGUCCUGUCUGGCUUUAGUUAGUUAGAUUCAUAUGCUCCAAGCUUCCAACGACGACGUUUCGAACCAGCCAAAAGAUUCAUGAUCCCAAACCGGGUUUUAUUAGAAGCUGACCGACCGAUUUAUAAAACCGCGUUUUGCAAUUAUGCGCUAUCGCUCGUAGUAAACGCUUAGUUCGAAUUCGGUUUUUGAUUUCGAUUAAAUCGGUUCGCUUUCAAAUUAGAUUUCCCGGUCCGGGUCGUGUUCUCCUCUGAUAAUUGCAUACAGUUGAUCCAACUGAAAAGGGGAAAACUUGGACUUGGUUUGAAAUUGGAGAGCAACAUUAUUGGGAAAUCUAGAAAACUUUUAAAUCGAUUUCGUCUCGAUCUUGCUAUAUAUCUGCUCGUUUCGAAUUGUUUGGUUUCUGAAUUGUUGGAGUCGAUAAGUGACGAAAGAUGGGGAAUUUGUUCGUGAAGAAACCACAGAUCACGGAGGUUGAUCGAGCGAUUCUAUCUCUCAAAACUCAAAGACGUAAGCUUGGUCAAUAUCAACAGAAGGUAUUUUUUUGAUUCUCACUUGUUAUAGUCUCUAUUCAUUUUGAUCGGAUUUUUACUUCUUUCUUAUCUGAGAUCAAAUGGAUUGGUGAGAAUCUCUCGAAGUCAAUUGUUGUCCAAUGGAUGGUUUUGAUUUGUUUAAAUGUUUCUUUUGAGUUUUUUUUUUUUUUUGUUAGUAGUGAUGAAAAAACUCCAGCUUGUGACUUCUUUUGUCUCAUCUCUUUGUUAACUAACCAACCCAUCUUCUCAAAUUUUGCUACUUUAGCUUGAGAAAGUAAUUGAAGCGGAGAAGGAAGCUGCAAGAGACUUAAUCCGCGAAAAGCGAAAGGACAGGGCUUUGUUAGCGUUGAGGAAGAAACGGACUCAGGAAGAAUUAUUGAAGCAAGUUGACCAGUGGGUCAUCAAUGUUGAACAACAAGUAAAUCUUUCUCCUUUUCUCUUUAUAAUAUGUAUCCAGCAUCGUUAUGGCUUUUCAGAGAGACAUUUUCUCAAACUUUCAUGUGAACCCUCAGUUGGCAGAUAUUGAACUUACGAGCAAACAAAAGGCAGUGUUUGAGAGCUUAAAGCAGGGUAAUAGUGCUAUUAAGGCCAUUCAAAGCGAGUUGGACCUUGAUGAUGUUCAAAAACUAAUGGAUGAUACUGCUGAUGCUAAAGCUUAUCAAGAUGUGAGUCACAAACUUUGGAAAUCUUAUCAUUUAAAUGUUUGAGUUUUUUGAUUCAUUAGUAUGUUAUCCGCUUUGUCAGAAUGCAAAUAUCUUCAUUGUUGAUUCCCGAGUAAACAGAGAAGUUCAUUAGUAGCUUCCUGCUACUACCGCUUUUUACAUUUUGUUCUGAGCUUGUUUAGAUUCAAAUCAUCUAUAAUCUUUUUAGUCGAGCCUUUGUGUUUGAUGACUAUGACAUUUCUGAAUAUCAGGAGCUGAAUGCUAUAUUGGGAGAGAAACUAUCAGCAGAGGAUGAAGAAGAUAUAUUAGCAGAAUUCGACAACCUAGAAAGUCAGGUAUGUUUUGUUUCAUGGCUCUUCAAAAACAAACUUGUUUAUUAUUAUCUUUACUAGAUAGAGAGACUCAUGGUCAUGGAUGUUUUGCCUAAAGCUCAUUGUUGAUGAGAUGCCUGAAGUGCCUACAAAGGAGUCCGAGGAUUCUGAGAAGCUGGAUCUUCCGGAUGUGCCAACAAAAACACCUGUCGCUUCCAUUUCAGAAAUCACACCAGCUGAAUCCGCCACAAAAACAAAAGGUAUUUACUUUGGUCUUCUUCUUUCUCUUCUUCUUCUCCUUGUUAGACUUGCAAGAACUGAACUCAGGACAUUUUUUGUUUGGCCUGUUUUUUUCCCGCUGCAGUUCUUGAAGAACCUUUGCCGGCUUGAGCUAGAAAAACUGAUUAACAAGACCGAUUUUAUCAUUCUUUUUGCACUUUUAUUUGUGUCUUUAUUGCUCUUGAAGUGUUCUGUGUAAUCUUGACGUCACUGUCAAAUUUGUAUAUUUUGGAAUCCUAUUGUGUUUUAAUCAAAGGCCAACAUUCACUAAUGAAAAACCAGUUUAUGGUAAGAGUUUUCCAACAUCUCUUAUUUUAUUAUCAACCAAUCUUAGAGAACCAAAUAUCUUUACAGAAUACAAAAACCAGUUUGCCUCUUUUGUCUGAACCUGAAUCUCAAUUUGUU
rnacentral:lncRNA from 1 species